rnacentral:tRNA from 1 species
GGUAAAUAUAGUUUAAUGGUAUAAAACAAUAAUCUGUGACGUUAUAAAUUGAGGGUUCAAAUCCCUCUAUUUACC